rnacentral:rRNA from 1 species
UAUGACGGGUAUCCGGCCUGAGAGGGUGAUCGGACACACUGGAACUGAGACACGGUCCAGACUCCUACGGGAGGCAGCAGAAGGGAUAUUGCUCAAUGGGCGAAAGCCUGAAGCACCAACGCCGCGUGGAGGAUGAAGGUUUUAGGAUUGUAAACUCCUUUUGUUAGAAAAGAUAAUGACGGUAUCUAACGAAUAAGCACCGGCUAACUCCGUGCCAGCUGCUUCAGUAAUACGGAGGGUGCAAGCGUUACUCGUAAUCACUGGGCGUAA